rfam:Bursaphelenchus xylophilus, Ka4C1 (inbred line), WGS project CADV01000000 data, contig: scaffold00336.9
GCAGUCGUGUCCGAGUGGUUAAGGAGAUUGACUAGAAAUCAAUUGGGCUCUGCCCGCACAGGUUCGAAUCCUGUCGACUGCG